CCUGCCCUAUGAGUAAUUAAAUGGCCGCAGUAUUUUGACUGUGCAAAGGUAGCAUAAUAAUUAGUUUUUUAAUUGAAAGCUGGAAUGAAAGGUUGAACGAAAAAAUAUCUGUCUCAAUUUGAUUUAAUUAGAAAUUUAUUUUUUAGUAAAAAAGCUAAAAUAAUUUUUAAAGACGAGAAGACCCUAUAGAGUUUUAUAUUUAAAAUUAUAUUUAUUAUAGAAUUUUUUUAUAAUUUAAGAUAUUUUAUUGGGGUGAUAAAUAAAUUUAAAUAACUUUAUUAAUUUUUUACAUUAAUAUAUGAAUAAUUGAUCCAUAAAAAUGAUUAAAAGAUUAAAUUACCUUAGGGAUAACAGCGUUAUUUUUUUUUAGAGUUCUAAUCGAAAAAAAAGAUUGCGACCUCGAUGUUGGAUUAAAAUUAAUUUAUGGUGUAGAAGCUAUAUUAUUAGGUCUGUUCGACCUUUAAAAUUUUACAUGAUCUGAGUUUAAACCGGUGUGAGCCAGGUUGGUUUCUAUCUUAAAAUAAUUAAAAUAUUUUAGUACGAAAGGACCAAAUAUUUAUAAUAUUUAUUUAAUUUUGAAUUA
rnacentral:rRNA from 1 species